GAUGAACGCUGGCGGCGUGCUUAACACAUGCAAGUCGAACGAAGCACUUUAUUUGAUUUCCUUCGGGACUGAUUAUUUUGUGACUGAGUGGCGGACGGGUGAGUAACGCGUGGGUAACCUGCCUUGUACAGGGGGAUAACAGUUGGAAACGGCUGCUAAUACCGCAUAAGCGCACAGCAUCGCAUGAUGCAGUGUGAAAAACUCCGGUGGUAUAAGAUGGACUCGCGUUGGAUUAGCUAGUUGGUGAGGUAACGGCCCACCAAGGCGACGAUCCAUAGCCGACGUGAGAGGGUGACCGGCCACAUUGGGACUGCGACACGGCCCAGACUCCUACGGGAGGCAGCAGUGGGGAAUAUUGCACAAUGGGCGAAAGCCUGAUGCAGCGACGCCGCGUGAGCGAAGAAGUAUUUCGGUAUGUAAAGCUCUAUCAGCAGGGAAGAUAAUGACGGUACCUGACUAAGAAGCACCGGCUAAAUACGUG
rnacentral:rRNA from 1 species